rnacentral:lncRNA from 1 species
GUAUGAGCAUUAUAUACAUAUAUUAAAACCCAAUGCAUCUGACAACAGUAAACUUCCGGCUUUUCAGAAUUUCGCCACAUCACUUUAACAAAAUUAUUGUUUACAUCCUUCUAAGUUUAACAUCGACAUCAGUUUGUAACCAUCCACAUCACUUUGUAAAUUCCUCCGCCCCUUUCUUCUUCAUUCGUCUCCCCUACUAUCUUCCUUUCUUCUUCAUUCGUCUCCCACUGUUCCUUUGAUUCUCCCGACGACUUCAUCCAAAAAUAUAGGAUUUCGAUUUCUCUCACCAAAAACUUUUGCGCUCUAUUUCCGCCACCAAACGCCUGUAACCAAGUGCAUGUAAUCUGAGGAAUUUCGGUAUGUUGUUGGUUGUUUCAACCCAUCGCCUUCUCUACCGGUCGAAUUUCUUUUCAUCGGCCACAUGUUUCACAGUUUAUGCUUCCACGUUUUCUCCACCGUCUUUCCUCUUAUCCUCUGCUUCACCAACAAAUCAAAACCCAAAACAAUCUCAAUAACCAUCCAAACACAUCACCAUUCGGACCAAAACAAUCUCAAUUAUCCUUCAAAAAUCAAAAUAAUCAGCGAGCGAACCCCAUAAUUCGAAAUCGAAAUCGAAAGAGGAGCAGGAACCAAACGAAAUUCAACGUGCGUUCUUCAAAUAUUUCUAAAUUUCCUGACAAGUCAGGUAUGUAAUCGCUAAGGAUUUCCAAUUGCAUAAAAAAACAUUGAUGGCAACUAUCGGUUGGUAUUGACCAGAACAUACAUCACUCUCUUUGAACCCUCAAUUCCGUGUGGGCGUUUCCUUCAAAUUCUUAUAUAUGUUUGUGUUUUAUGUAGUUUUAAUAUAAGUUUUCCAUUGUUUUUGCCCUUUACGUUCGAGGUAUAGAAGGAUAUCAUAAAUAGUGGUAUCGUUGGUGGUGGAAUUAAAAAAAAUUGAUUUGCACACCAACUUUUUGUUCAUAUGUCUCAAUGAACUUCAGUUACUUGAUUUCAAAACUGGUUGCUUACUCCAACGUAACUUUCUUUCAAAUCAUAGUGUCUUCCAUGAAAUUCAGUCAUCACUUCAAAUAUCUUAACAUCUUUCCUAUUUUUUCUAUUUUAUCUUACAGUGUUCUCGGAAAACAUCUUGAUUCUCUCCAAUGAGUCUAAUAUGCACUACACAACCUUUCUUUUUUUGUUUUGUAUGAAUUCAGGUGUGUGAAAUGUGAAUCUUUUAACUUGAUUGAGUUUUUGAUGGAUUUCUUCAUGUUUCUUUUGUUUGUUGCUGUAAGUUAGAUCAUUGCAACAAGUCCCAUGACUUAAAUGUUUGUAAAUAGCAAUUAAGGAUUACUCAAUUGGUUCAUGUCAGUUCUAAUCUACCCUUUGUCACAGGUGUUAUAUUCCUUUUUAUAUUUUCAUCCAUGCCAUAGGAGAGGUUGAAUGGUUUAGUCAUGUUUCCAUUAGUUUCUCUUAAUUCCUUUUGUUUUUACGUUAUAAAUUAUUAUAUUUUAUAGAAUUAAUGGUAACUUUUAAAUUGUUCAUAUUUUUGGUUUUGAAACUGUAGGAUGAUUGCAGGCAUCUAAGGCAAAGUAUAAAGUAUGCAUGGUAGCAGUGUAUUGUAAGUGUUGUUGAACUGCACCAAAUAACAACAUACUUUUCAGUUUUACCAUUUUUUUUAUUUUAUGUUGUUAAACAAGUUAAUAAACAAAUGCAAGAAAUAAUUGGUAAUGUUUCAGUAUGCAUGUGUAGCUUAUGUUCAACACUGGUAACUUGCCUUUCU